rnacentral:rRNA from 1 species
GGGGGGCGGGGGGGGGGGGCGUGGCGGAGGGGGGUCGGGCGGGGCGGCCCGGCUUUUGGGGGGUGCUCGAGUGGCGAACGGGUGGGGACCACGGGGGUAACCGGCCCUUGGCUUGGGGAUAACGUCAGGAACCUGGGGCUCAUACCGGCUAUGAGCUCCUGCUGCAUGGUGGGGGUUGGAAAGUUUCGGCGGAUGGGGAUGGACUCGCGGCUUAUCAGCGUGUUGGUGGGGUAGUGGCUUACCAGGGCUUUGACGGGUAGCCGGCCUGAGAGGGUGACCGGCCACAUUGGGACUGAGAUACGGCCCAGACUCCUACGGGAGGCAGCAGUGGGGAAUAUUGCACAAUGGGCGGAAGCCUGAUGCAGCAACGCCGCGUGCGGGAUGACGGCCUUCGGGUUGGAAACCGCUUUCGCCUGUGACGAAGCGUGAGUGACGGUAAUGGGUAAAGAAGCACCGGCUAACUACGUG